rnacentral:rRNA from 1 species
GUGCACCAGGCGCGAAAACUUUGCAAUACACGAAAGUGUGACAGGGUCGUCCCGAGUGCCGACCGCUGAGGUUGGCUUUUACCCAGUCUAGAAAGCUGGGGGAAUAAGGAGAGGGCAAGUCUGGUGUCAGCCGCCGCGGUAAUACCAGCUCUCCGAGUGGUGUGGACGUUUAUUGGGCCUAAAGCAUCCGUAGCUGGCUGGGCAAGUCCCCUGUUAAACCCACCGAUUUAAUCGUUGGUCUGCGGGUGAUACUGCUCGGCUAGGGGACGAGAGAGGCAGACGGUAUUCUCGGGGUAGGGGUGAAAUCCUAUAAUCCCAGGAGGACCACCAGUGGCGAAGGCUGUCUGCUAGAACGCGCCCGACGGUGAGGGAUGAAAGCUGGGGGAGCGAACCGGAUUAGAUACCCGGGUAGUCCCAGCUGUAAACGAUGCAGACUAGGUGUUUGGACGGCCACGUGCCGCUCUAGUGCCGCAGGGAAGCUGUUAAGUCUGCCGCCUGGGGA